UGAUGACAAGUGCCCAAGGUGGUCAGAGC
rnacentral:piRNA from 1 species